GCAUGGGGGAAGAGACCAAUACAGCCUCUGCGAGAGCAACGCCUUUUGGAAAGGACGCAGCAGGGAGGCCCAGUUUAAAUGCUGCCUCUUCUAAGAAACCUGCCCCAGACCUCAUGCCAGUCUCUGCACUUCCCCUCUGACCUCCCCGAGCCAUCUCCUCCCUACCUGUGCACCUGUCUGCUCCCACCUGUGGACGAGGACAGGAAUGAAGCCCAGAAAGGGAGGCAAACUCCCCAAAGGCACACAGCUGGGAAGAGGAGGGGCUGGAGGCUGCCAAAAAAACCAAGGCUACAUGCUUCUCAAGCAGCAUCCAGGAAAGAAAAAAUUCUGCUCCCGAAACCAUCCAAUAAGACUCCUGGGCUUUUUGAUGAUUGACUCACCCUGAACCAGUCUCUGUGGCUGGAGAAGGACAUGAGCCAGUGGACUCAGGGCUGAGAUACAUCAGUGAAUCACUGUGACCACAGGCUUGGCUUAGACCAAUCAGAACCACCUUUGAAAUCAGAAAAUAAGGCUUUGUAUUCUACACAGCUGCUGCACAAAGGGAAAAGAAUAGGAUGAAUGAGGAGGCCACACUGUAGACUUCGGAGUUUACCUUGUGGAAAUGGGCUGUCCCUUACAGACAAAGAGGCGCUUGCCCAGUGGAAAUAACUCUGGGGGCACUUUUGGAGGAUGCUGGAGCAAGGAGGCCGGU
ensembl:lncRNA